GGAAGUAAAAGUCGUAACAAGAUUUCCGUAGGUGAACCUGCGGAAGGAUCAUUCAUAAUAAGUGCUCUACUGCACUUUUUAAAAAUAGUACUCGCCUUGUGUGCAAUGUUUGUUAGACUCUUUCGGGAGUCUGACAUUUAUACCAACCUUUUAUAUUUUGAACCACUUUGUCUGAAAAAUAUUAUGAAUACUUAAUUCUAAAUACAACUUUCAACAACGGAUCUCUUGGCUCUC
rnacentral:misc_RNA from 1 species